AGGUCAAGCUACAAAGGGCGCAUGGUGAAUGCCUUGGCAUCAGGAGCCGAUGAAGGACGCGAUAAGCUGCGAUAAGCUUCGGGUAGACGCACAUAGUCAGAGAUCCGAAGAUUUCCGAAUGAGGAAACUCACAUGGGAAACCCCAUGUAUCAUAAAGUGAAUACAUAGCUUUAUGAAGGUAAACCCAGGGAACUGAAACAUCUAAGUACCUGGAGGAAGAGAAAGAAAAAUCGAUUUUCUUAGUAGCGGCGAGCGAAAAGGAAAGAGCCCAAACCAGAGAUUUAUCUCUGGGGUUGCGGACAGAACAUAACGUGAAAUUAUAGUUAAUUGAACACAACUGGAAAGUUGGACCGUAGGAGGUAAUAGUCCUGUAAAUGAAAACUAUAAUGAGCAGUUCUGCACCAGAGUACCACGAGACACGUGAAACCUUGUGGGAAGCAGGGAGGACCACCUCCCAAGGCUAAAUACUACCUGAUGACCGAUAGUGAAGCAGUACCGUGAGGGAAAGGUGAAAAGAACCCCGGGAGGGGAGUGAAAUAGAACCUGAAACCAUGUGCCUACAACCGAUCAAAGCACCUUAUGUGUGUGAUGAUGUGCUUUUUGUAGAACGAGCCAACGAGUUACGGUAUGUAGCGAGGUUAAGUACUUAAGGUACGGAGCCGAAGGGAAACCGAGUCUUAAUAGGGCGACUAGUUGCAUGCUGUAGACCCGAAACCGGGUGACCUAUCCAUGGCCAGGUUGAAGCGAGGGUAAAACCUCGUGGAGGACCGAACCACGUUGCUGUUGAAAAAGCAUGGGAUGAGCUGUGGAUAGCGGAGAAAUUCCAAUCGAACUCGGAUAUAGCUGGUUCUCCUCGAAAUAGCUUUAGGGCUAGCGUCGGAAAAUGUGAGUAGUGGAGGUAGAGCACUGAAUAGGCUAGGGGGCAUAGCGCUUACCGAACCUUAUCAAACUCCGAAUGCCACAUACUAUCAGUCCGGCAGUCAGACUAUGAAAGAUAAGUUCCAUGGUCAAAAGGGAAACAGCCCAGAUCGUCAGCUAAGGUCCCAAAGUGUAAGUUAAGUGGAAAAGGAUGUGGGAUUUCUAAGACAACUAGGAUGUUGGCUUAGAAGCAGCCACUCAUUAAAAGAGUGCGUAAUAGCUCACUAGUCAAGAGAUCCUGCGCCGAAAAUGUCCGGGGCUCAAACUUACCACCGAAGCUACGGGUUCACGUGUAUAACGUGAGCGGUAGAGGAGCGUCGUAAUCGGGCUGAAGUCGUACCGUAAGGAGCGGUGGACUGAUUACGAGUGAGAAUGUUGGCAUUAGUAGCGAGAUGUAGGCGAGAAUCCUACAGGCCGAAUAUCUAAGGUUUCCUGAGUAAAGUUUGUCUUCUCAGGGUUAGUCGGGACCUAAGGCGAGGCCGAAAGGCGUAGUCGAUGGACAAUUGGUUGAUAUUCCAAUACCACUAUAAUCGUUAUUAUCGAUGGUGUGACGGAGAAGGAUAGGAUGUGCUAGCUAUUGGAUGCUAGUCUAAGCGUUUAGGGAGUUGGGAUUGGCAAAUCCGUUCCAACAAUUCUGAGGCGUGAUGGGGAAGGUUCUACGGAACCGAAGUAUCUGAUUCCAUGCUUCCAAGAAAAGCAUCUAGAGAGAGAAGUAGUGCCCGUACCGCAAACCGACACAGGUAGAUGAGGAGAGAAUCCUAAGGCCGACGGAAGAAUUGCAGUUAAGGAACUAGGCAAAUUGACCCCGUAACUUCGGGAGAAGGGGUGCCUGAGAAAUCAGGCCGCAGAGAAUAGGCACAAGCAACUGUUUAACAAAAACACAGGUCUCUGCUAAAGCGAAAGCUGAUGUAUAGGGGCUGACGCCUGCCCGGUGCUGGAAGGUUAAGGGGAACACUUAGUGGUAACGCGAAGGUGUGAACUUAAGCCCCAGUAAACGGCGGCCGUAACUAUAACGGUCCUAAGGUAGCGAAAUUCCUUGUCAGGUAAGUUCUGACCCGCACGAAUGGCGUAAUGACUUGUGCACUGUCUCAACUGCAAAUCCGGCGAAGUUGUAGUGCGAGUGAAGAUGCUCGCUACCCGCGAUUGGACGGAAAGACCCCGUAGAGCUUUACUGUAGCUUAGCAUUGAAUUUCGGUAUUGUCUGUACAGGAUAGGUGGGAGACUGGGAAACUAGGGCGUCAGCCUUGGUGGAGUCGUUGUUGGGAUACCACCCUGAUAGUAUUGAAGUUCUAACUGGAUGCCAUGAAACUGGUGACAGGACAUUGUUAGGUGGGCAGUUUGACUGGGGCGGUCGCCUCCUAAAAUGUAACGGAGGCGCCCAAAGGUUCCCUCAGAACGGUCGGAAAUCGUUCGAAGAGUGUAAAGGCAGAAGGGAGCCUGACUGCGACACCUACAAGUGGAGCAGGGACGAAAGUCGGGCUUAGUGAUCCGGUGGUACCUCGUGGGAGGGCCAUCGCUCAACGGAUAAAAGCUACCUCGGGGAUAACAGGCUGAUCUCCCCCAAGAGUUCACAUCGACGGGGAGGUUUGGCACCUCGAUGUCGGCUCGUCGCAUCCUGGGGCUGAAGUAGGUCCCAAGGGUUGGGCUGUUCGCCCAUUAAAGCGGCACGCGAGCUGGGUUCAGAACGUCGUGAGACAGUUCGGUCCCUAUCCGUCGCGGGCGUAGGAAAUUUGAGAGGAGCUGUCCUUAGUACGAGAGGACCGGGAUGGACUGACCUAUGGUGUACCAGUUGUUUCGCCAGAAGCAUAGCUGGGUAGCUAAGUCGGGAAGGGAUAAACGCUGAAAGCAUCUAAGUGUGAAGCCCACCUCAAGAUGAGAUUUCCCAUAGCAUAAGCUAGUAAGACCCCUUGAAGACUACAAGGUUGAUAGGUCAGAGGUGUAAGUGCGGCAACGCAUUUAGCUGACUGAUACUAAUAGGUCGAGGGCUUGACCAAU
rnacentral:rRNA from 1 species